rnacentral:rRNA from 1 species
UACAGAGGUCCCGAGCGUUGCUCGGAUUCAUUGGGCGUAAAGGGUGCGCAGGCGGCCGUGUGUGUUAGAUGUGAAAUCCCGGGGCUCAACCCCGGAACUGCGUCUAAAACUACAUGGCUAGAGUAUUGGAGAGGGUAGCGGAAUUCACGGUGUAGCAGUGAAAUGCGUAGAUAUCGUGAGGAACACCAGAGGCGAAGGCGGCUACCUGGACAAUUACUGACGCUCAGGCACGAAAGCGUGGGGAGCAAAAGGG